rnacentral:pre_miRNA from 1 species
UGGACAGAUUAUUGUAUUCGACUGUAUUCACGGUGUGAAAUAGGGGAUUACACUGUUUUUAAAACGGAAAGUGAAACAAUUAACAUAAUAGACUCCU